rnacentral:rRNA from 1 species
CAAUAGCGUAUAUUAAAGUUGUUGCGGUUAAAAAGCUCGUAGUUGGAUUUCUGCUGAGGAUGACCGGUCCGCCCUCCGGGUGAGUAUCUGGCUCAGCCUUGGCAUCUUCCUGAAGAACGUAACUGCACUUGACUGUGUGGUGCGGUAUUUAGGACAUUUACUUUGAGGAAAUUAGAGUGUUUCAAGCAAGCGCACGCCUUGAAUACAUUAGCAUGGAAUAAUAAUAUAAGACCUUGGAUCUUUUUUGUUGGUUUCUAGAACCAAGGUAAUGAUUAAUAGGGAUAAUUGGGGGCAUUCGUAUUCAACUGUCAGAGGUGAAAUUCUUGGAUUUGUUGAAGACGAUCUACUGCGAAAGCAUUUGCCAGGGAUGUUUUCAUUGA